rnacentral:rRNA from 1 species
AUACGUAGGGGGCAAGCGUUGUCCGGAAUCAUUGGGCGUAAAGGGCGCGUAGGCGGAUAUUUAAGUCUGAUGUGAAAACCUAGGGCUCAACCCUGGGACUGCAUCGGAAACUGGGUAUCUCGAGGACAGGAGAGGAAAGUGGAAUUCCACGUGUAGCGGUGAAAUGCGUAGAUAUGUGGAGGAACACCAGUGGCGAAGGCGACUUUCUGGACUGUAACUAACGCUGAGGCGCGAAAGCGUGGGGAGCAAACAGGAUUAGAUACCCUGGUAGUCCACGCCGUAAACGAUGAGUGCUAGGUGUAGAGGGUAUCGACCCCUUCUGUGCCGCAGUAAACACAAUAAGCACUCCGCCUGGGGAGUACGGCCGCAAGGCUGAA